UACGUAGGGGGCAAGCGUUGUCCGGAAUCAUUGGGCGUAAAGAGCGCGUAGGCGGCCAGAUAAGUCCGUUGUGAAAGUCAAAGGCUCAACCUUUGAAUGCCGAUGGAUACUGCAGGGCUAGAGUCCGGAAGAGGCGAGUGGAAUUCCUGGUGUAGCGGUGGAAUGCGCAGAUAUCAGGAGGAACACCAAUAGCGAAGGCAGCUCGCUGGGACGGUACUGACGCUAAGGUGCGAAAGCGUGGGGAGCGAACAGG
rnacentral:rRNA from 1 species